rnacentral:tRNA from 1 species
ACCGCGGUAGCUCAGCUGGUAGAGCUUCUGCCGGGUAUGCGGAGGGUCGCCGGUUCGACUUCGGCUCGCGGCG